GAUGAAGAACGCAGCGAAAUGCGAUACUUGGUGUGAAUUGCAGAAUCCCGUGAACCAUCGAGUCUUUGAACGCAAGUUGCGCCUCAAGCCAUUAGGUUGAGGGCACGUCUGCCUGGGCGUCACAUAUCGUUGCCUGAUGCCAGUUUCCUCGUGAUGGGUGACUGUGCAGGGCGAAUGAUGGCUUCCCGUGAGCAUUGUUGCCUCAUGGUUGGUUGAAAAUUGAGUCCUUGGUAGGGAGCGCCGUGAUAGAUGGUGGUUGAGUGACGAACGAGACCCAAUCAUGUGAGACCCCUACCGAAUUUGGCCUUCAUGACCCACAUGCGUCUUUGGAACGCUCAUGACGAGACCUCAGGUCAGGCGGGGUUACCCGCUGAGUUUAAGCAUAUCAAUAAGCGGAGGA
rnacentral:misc_RNA from 1 species